rnacentral:rRNA from 1 species
AUUGAACGCUGGCGGAAUGCUUUACACAUGCAAGUCGAGCGGCAGCACGGGGGCAACCCUGGUGGCGAGCGGCGAACGGGUGAGUAAUACAUCGGAACAUGCCCAGUCGUGGGGGAUAACACUUCGAAAGAAGUGCUAAUACCGCAUACGUCCUGAGGGAGAAAGCGGGGGAUCUUCGGACCUCGCGCGAUUGGAGUGGCCGAUGUCAGAUUAGCUAGUUGGUGUGGUAAAGGCCUACCAAGGCAACGAUCUGUAGCUGGUCUGAGAGGAUGAUCAGCCACACUGGGACUGAGACACGGCCCAGACUCCUACGGGAGGCAGCAGUGGGGAAUUUUGGACAAUGGGGGCAACCCUGAUCCAGCCAUUCCGCGUGAGUGAAGAAGGCCUUCGGGUUGUAAAGCUCUUUCGGCAGGAAUGAAACGGCGAGCUCUAACAUAGCUUGCUAAUGACGGUACCUGAAGAAGAAGCACCGGCUAACUACGUGCCAGCAGCCGCCGUAAUAC